UACAGGGGGUGCAAGCGUUACUCGGAUUUACUGGGCGUAAAGAGCGUGUAGGUGGUUUGUUAAGUCUGGUGUGAAAUCCCUGGGCUCAAUCCAGGAAGUGCAUUGGAUACUGAUAGACUAGAGUGCAGGAGAGGUGAGCGGAAUUCCCGGUGUAGAGGUGAAAUUCGUAGAUAUCGGGAGGAACAACAGAAGCGAAGGCGGCUCACUGGACUGUUACUGACACUAAGGCGCGAAAGCGUGGGGAGCAAACAGG
rnacentral:rRNA from 1 species